CAAAUUACAAGAUUGGAUCAUUAAUGUAUGUUCCAAGGGUUAGGCUGUUCGCCCAUUAAAGUGGUACAUGAGCUGGGUUCAGAACGUCGGGAGACAGUUC
rnacentral:ncRNA from 1 species